AACGAACGCUGGCGGCGCGCCUAAUACAUGCAAGUCGAGCGAGAAGGUGUAGCAAUACACUUGUAAAGCGGCGAACGGGUGAGGAAUACAUGGGUAAUCUACCAUCGAGUGGGGAAUAACCAACCGAAAGGUUGGCUAAUACCGCGUACGCCUCCGAGUCUUCGGGUUCGGAGGGAAAGCUGCACUGUGAGUGUAGCGCUCUUUGACGAGCUCAUGUCCUAUCAGCUUGUUGGUAGGGUAACGGCCUACCAAGGCUUUGACGGGUAGCUGGUCUGAGAGGACGAUCAGCCACACUGGCACUGCGACACGGGCCAGACUCCUACGGGAGGCAGCAGUAAGGAAUAUUGCGCAAUGGGCGAAAGCCUGACGCAGCGACGCCGCGUGGGGGAUGAAGGUCUUCGGAUUGUAAACCCCUUUCGGGAGGGAAGAUGGAACGAGCAAUCGUUCGGACGGUACCUCCAGAAGCAGCCACGGCCAACUUCGUGCCAGCAGCCGCGGU
rnacentral:rRNA from 1 species